rnacentral:rRNA from 1 species
UACGAAGGUCCCAAGCGUUAUCCGGAUUUAUUGGGUUUAAAGGGCGCGUAGGCGGGCAACCAAGUCCGGGGUGAAAUCCUCCAGCUCAACUGGAGAAGUGCCUCGGAUACUGGCUGCCUCGAGGAGGGUAGGGGCAUCUGGAACUAGCGGUGGAGCGGUGAAAUGCGUUGAUAUCGCUAGGAACUCCGGUGGCGAAGGCGAGGUGCUGGACCCUUUCUGACGCUGAGGCGCGAAAGCCAGGGGAGCGAACGGG